rnacentral:rRNA from 1 species
UAGGGAAUAUUGGUAAUCUGGGAAACCGGGAACCAGCAACGCCGCGUGCGCGAUGAAGGCCUUCGGGUUGUAAAGCGCUUUUUGAGAGGAUGAGGAAGGACAGUACUCUUAGAAUAAGCCUCGGCUAACUACGUGCCAGCAGCCGCGGUAAAACGUAGGAGGCGAGCGUUAUCCGGAUUUACUGGGCGUAAAGCGUGUGUAGGCGGUUUGAUAAGUUGGAUGUGAAAGCUCCGGGCUUAACUGGGAGAGGUCGUGCAAAACUAGCAGACUUGAGAGUGGUAGAGGGAGGUGGAAUGCCGCAUGUAGUGGUGAAAGGCGUAGAUAUGCGGAGGAACACCAGUGGCGAAAGCGGCCUCCUGGCCCAUUUCUGACGCUCAGACACGAAAGCUAAGGUAGCAAACG